rnacentral:misc_RNA from 1 species
UUUCCGUAGGUGAACCUGCGGAAGGAUCAUUAACACGAUUUCUGGAAGGCCUCACCGCUUUCCAUUUCUCAACCCACGCGAUCCAGAGCGCUUGCUCGGUGCGAACUGGUGAACUCGUACACCCGCUUGCGAGCGGGCCUUUUCCUUUCUUUUUCUUCUUUCCAACCCUUGAACUCCACGUGACUGACUUGAACAUUCGAUCAAACAAUCGCGAACAACUCUUAGCAACGGAUAUCUUGGCUCUC